GAGCUGCAGCAAAAAUACUACCCACCGCUCCCUCGUUGUGAUGACUGUUGAAAACCAAAAUCAAAUGCCACCACAAAAACAGGGCUUCUUCUGUGAGAAUAGUUUUGUUGUAAAAUUCAACUGUUUUAUUAGUUUUGUGCACCAAACUACAGGUGAGGAAAAAGAAAAACGGCAGAAGCUCCAUAUGAUCCCCACCAUAACAAUACUACGACCGCAAUCGUAUAGCCAAUUUCCUAUCGCAGUGAUAAUGGAGGCGGAUGUCGAUCCUGCACUGAAAACUUCAAUGAAAACUUCAAUACCACGCUACCACCAAUGACGAUAUGUGCAAAUAGUAAGCAAAUAAGCCAAUGACUUCGGGAUGAAAUGUGCGACUAUAAGGUCGAUGCCAUCCAUAGGUCAUUCGAUCACAAGCUGCAGAAAGUGUUAUAGCGGGGAACAACGUUAAUGAUUAACAAUAAAUAAUAAACGAUUAUAACAACAAAA